rnacentral:rRNA from 1 species
AUUGAACGCUGGCGGCAUGCCUUACACAUGCAAGUCGAACGGCAGCGGGGGAGAAGCUUGCUUUUCCUGCCGGCGAGUGGCGAACGGGUGAGUAAUACAUCGGAACGUGCCCUGUAGUGGGGGAUAACUAGUCGGAAGAUUAGCUAAUACCGCAUACGACCUGAGGGUGAAAGUGGGGGACCGCAAGGCCUCAUGCUAUAGGAGCGGCCGAUGUCUGAUUAGCCAGUUGGUGGGGUAAAGGCCUACCAAGGGGACGAUCAGUAGCUGGUCUGAGAGGACGAUCAGCCACACUGGGACUGAGACACGGCCCAGACUCCUACGGGAGGCAGCAGUGGGGAAUUUUGGACAAUGGGCGAAAGCCUGAUCCAGCAAUGCCGCGUGUGUGAAGAAGGCCUUCGGGUUGUAAAGCACUUUUGUCCGGAAAGAAAUGGCUCUGGUUAAUACCUGGGGUCGAUGACGGUACCGGAAGAAUAAGGACCGGCUAACUACGUGCCAGCCGCCGCGGUAA